CGGGCGCCCGCCCUCCGAGGGGCCGCGCUUACCCGUCGGGCGAGUACUCGAGGUUGAAGACGGCGCCGUGGGUGCGGGUGCUGAGUAUGUUCCAGUAAAAGGAGACCAUGUGAUUGGCAUAGUGACAGCUAAAUCUGGAGAUAUAUUCAAAGUUGAUGUUGGAGGGAGUGAGCCAGCUUCUUUGUCUUACUUGUCAUUUGAAGGUGCAACUAAAAGAAACAGACCAAAUGUGCAGGUUGGAGAUCUCAUCUAUGGCCAAUUUGUGGUUGCUAAUAAAGACAUGGAACCAGAGAUGGUCUGUAUUGACAGCUGUGGACGAGCCAAUGGAAUGGGUGUCAUUGGACAGGAUGGUCUGCUUUUUAAAGUGACUCUGGGCUUAAUUAGAAAGCUAUUAGCUCCAGAUUGUGAAAUCAUACAGGAAGUGGGAAAACUCUAUCCACUGGAGAUAGUAUUUGGAAUGAA
rnacentral:sRNA from 1 species